UGGGGAAUAUUGCACAAUGGGCGAAAGCCUGAUGCAGCGACGCCGCGUGAGGGAUGACGGCCUUCGGGUUGUAAACCUCUUUCAGCAGGGACGAAGCGCAAGUGACGGUACCUGCAGAAGAAGCACCGGCUAACUACGUGCCAGCAGCCGCGGUAAUACGUAGGGUGCAAGCGUUGUCCGGAAUUACUGGGCGUAAAGAGUUCGUAGGCGGUUUGUCGCGUCGUUUGUGAAAACCAGCAGCUCAACUGCUGGCUUGCAGGCGAUACGGGCAGACUUGAGUACUGCAGGGGAGACUGGAAUUCCUGGUGUAGCGGUGAAAUGCGCAGAUAUCAGGAAGAACACCGGUGGCGAAGGCGGGUCUCUGGGCAGUAACUGACGCUGAGGAACGAAAGCGUGGGUAGCGAACAGG
rnacentral:rRNA from 1 species